rnacentral:misc_RNA from 1 species
GUGAAUUAAAAGGGAGAAGCUAUUGCGCCAAGCUUCUCCGAUCUGCUACUGUUCUCUGUUUCUUGAAAAGCUAAGGACAAUGUUAUGUCUUGUCAGAACUGGAUACGCGUAUUACGUUGACCCAUAAACUAUAAUAUAGUAGAAUACAGUUUUAUUUUUCAUCUAUUUCUGAACGAAUAUAAUUAUCAGUUUUAAAUAACGAGGAGUUCGAUUUAAUCAACUUGAUUCAGUUUAAACUGAAACUGACGGAUUGCAUAAUCUGCAUGAUCUUGCACUACCUUCCAGGCCAUAAUCACAUGCCGAUCUUCUGUAAGAGUAGCACCAACAGCAAACCGUAAGAUAUAAACUUCCCCAACAAUAGCAUGAGUCAGGUAAAUGCAGCCUGAAGCGUUAACGGACUCCAGUAAUUUUCUAUUCAGCUCAUUCGCAAGUAUAUCUUGAUCAUGGAGCUUCCCAUUUGCCACUGCAAUUGCCCCCGGCUGAAUCCUGAAGCAAACCGUUGCAAAAUUUCUGGGCACCACUAUCUCAAAUCUGUUGUCCUCCGCUACAUAUCCUUCAAAAAGCUUGGCCAUUUCGACAUGGCGUCUGAGGAAGUUUCUGAGGUUGGUCACACCGUAACUUCUCAACACAAGCCAGAGUUUCAUGGAUCGAAACUUCCGGCUUAGGGCUAUUUGCCAGUCUUUGUAGUCCACUACCUGUGCUGAAUCAGAAGCUUUAUUCCUUAGGAGCUCAUGAUUUGUUGAGAGCGACCUUACAAGAGCACAUGGAUCCUUCACCCAGAGGCAGCAGCAAUCCAAAGUGGUAAAGAACCAUUUAUGAGCAUUGAGACUAAACGAGUUUGCACCCUCUACCCCGUCAAGAAAAUGAUUAAACUCUGGGCAUAUACACGCGUUCCCAGCGUAAGCAGCAUCUACAUGAACCCAUACGCUGUGUUGGUUUGCCACUUCGCAUAAUGGUCUCAGUGGAUCAACAGUAGUGGUUGCAGUUGUACCCACAGUGGCGCAGAGAAACAAAGGGAUCAGGCCGGCUUCUAAAUCUGAUCGAACAGACAAGCUGAAUGAAUCAGAGGACAGCGCAAACAAUGUUGCUUUAGUGGUCUUAAUGGCUCGAAUAUUCUCAGGAUGGAUUCCAGCAAUUUGAGCUGCCUUUAGGAAUGCGAAAUGUGUUUGAUCUGAACCAUAAACAACUAGCUUCCCGAUUUUCUCCUUUCCAACCCGGCUUAGCAUUUGAUCUCUGGCAGCAAUGAGGGUGCACAAAAUGGCUUCGCAGGUAGUGCCUUGGAUAACACCCCCACCAUUUCCAGAGAAGAGGAAAGAUCUUGGAAGCUCAAGCAUUUCUCCAAGCCAGUCCAUCACAAUGCUUUCUAGCUCAGUUGCAGCUGGUGAUGACGCCCGGUUGAAACCCACAACAUUAAAGCCACUGCUAAGCAUUUCACCGAGAAAACCUGCAGUGCUGCCACUUGAUGGGAAGUAUGCAAAGUAGUUAGGACUCUGCCAGUGUGUAAUGCCAGGAAUUAUAUGUUUUUGCACAUCUUUAAGGAUUGUUUCUAUCGGUUCAGGAUUAUAAGGCGCAGAUUCAGGCAAACGUUUUCGAAGAUAACCCGGUUCAACUUGGCUUAGAACUGGGUAUUUCUCGAUAUUCAUAUAAUAAUCGGCGAUGAAGUCUACGAUCAUGUGAGCUUGCGUUCUGAAUUCCUCAUGGCAUAAAGGGUUCAUAGCUUGAUUGUUGAAGGAAGAUUCUUGUUCAAAUUCUUCGUUGAACUCACGGCUGCUCAUUUUGGAAAGGGAAAC